rnacentral:tRNA from 2 species
GCCAAGAUGGCUCAGUCGGUAGAGCGGCGCACUCGUAAUGCGCAGGUCGGGGGUUCGAUUCCCCCUCUUGGCU